UGGAAGCAGGCGGGGUGCGCAGGCGCAGCAGAGAUGACAUCACCUCCGUCCAGCAGUAGGGCAGGCAACUGGGGAGGGGGUUUACGCAUCCUGUCCCUGGAGGUGGUGGUGGCCACCUUCUUCACCUGUCUACUGCAGUUGAUCCUUCCUUGCUGUGCUGCAGUGGAGGGAGGAAGAAAGAAGGGCACAGGGACCGCUUACACCUGAGACGGACUACGGAACAGCACGUACCAGAGGUUGAAGUGCAAGUCAAACGUAGAAGGACGGCCUCACUGAGCAAUCAAGAGUGUCAGCUGUACCCGAGGCGAUCUCAGCAACAGCAAAUACCUC